AGGAACUUCCUGGCUGAAAUCUGAAACCAGCCUCCAUCCUCGAAGGCCAAGCACAAACCAAGAAAGAGGCAGACGAUUCUAGACUGGAUUCUGGAUAGUGGGACCAGUGUGUAUUUUAAGUACGAAACAGUGAUUCAAAUAUGAAAAAGGCUUUAUAAGGAAUUCUCUGGCACAUGAAGAAGCUUGAUUCAAAAAGAGAAGCUGAGUGGUUUGCUUGCCCAACAGAAGUGUCAUUCUUCUGUUCUUCUGAGAUUAGGCCAAGGACACCUUGCAUCUUUCCCCAAGAUUUCUUGGAAUACUUGCUCUUGGAAACCAGCUACCAAGCUGUGAGAAAGCCCAAGUGAUCCUGUAGAAAAGCUUAUGGGGAGAGGGACUACUGAUCCAGCAAUAUUGGCCCACUGAGAUCCUGGCAGGAGUCACCCACUUACCAGUCUUGAGUAAGCCACUUUGGCAAUGGGUCCUCCACACCACGUGAACUACCAAAGCUGAUGCUGAACGAAGCAGAGAUGAGCCAUACUUUCUGAGCUCUGCUUAAAAUUCACAUCUGUGAGCAAAAUAAUCAUUGUUGCAAUUUUAAGCCAUUAAGUAUUGAAGUGGUUUGUUCAGUACUAAUCAAUAACCAGAAUAUCUUGCCUGCAUGCAUGCAGAUUAACACCACUAGAGAAAAAAGCACAAUCAUGCUGACUGGCUUUGAUUUAAAUCUUGCUCACAAAACUGCAGCAGCUUUUAAGGCUUUCCAGCAGUAACACUGCAUUGCCUUAUCCACUCACUUUUUUAAAAGAAUGUCACCUAUCUGCUUACUUUCUUACUUUCUUAAAAGAAUGUAUCUUAUAUUUUCCUCUCUCCUCAAACCUGAAACACCUUUCUUUCCCUUUAUUUCCUAACCUUGUUUCCUGUUUUCUGAUAAAGAAAAAGCACUUGGCACAUAAUUUUCACAACCUCCUAUCAUCACUUCUACCUCCUAGUUGCUUAUAGAACAAAAUUAUUUUCUUUUUAUUAAUUUUCCUACUCCUUCUCAGUCUGCUUUUUUGUUCUACCUCUUCUCCCUUUACUUGUAUCUUUAGAAUUACUGAAGGGAAAAUCCAUGGACUCUUUCAUCUCUACUCAUACUCACUCUCUUGGUGGCCCCAUUCAGCCUUAUGGCUUUAAAUAUCACUGAAAUGACACAGCUUGAUUUAUAGACAUAGCUCAAAGAUAUUGUGGGGUUUGAUUCAGAUAAUGGAAAUAAAGCAAAUGUUGCAAUAAAAGAAAGCACACAGAUUUUUUGGUUUUACAGUAAUUAUAAAAAUUAUGCUUAGAAGACUCUUGAGAGUCCCUUGGACUGCAAGGAGAUCCAACCAGUCCA